CCACAGCCACUAGACACACCCCUGCUGCUUUGACACAGCGUGUACAUGUGUUCUGUUGCGUAACCUGGCCACAAGUCCGGUUUCCAGAUCUAGUUCCGCGCUGGGUCCCACGGCAGUUGAUACCCGUGGACAGAGAUCUGCGACCAGAGGAAAUGGAAGGUACCACAUAUCAGCAAUUUGAUCCAAUCCCGAUACCCCUGCUGUUAACCCCAACCCCCCCCCCUCCUUACAAAACGUGGUCUUUCCCUCCAAAUCCCAAACCAAACCUCCUCCCUCAAUUGUUCUGCUAUAUUCAAUAUCCUAAUCUUUCGUGCAACGUCUUUCCCCUUGAUAAACGUAUAUGUAGCACGUCUAGCAAC
ensembl:lncRNA